UCCAAAUCGAAUGAAAUAACAACAGCACAUAUUCUAGCUUUGAUUCUUCUUCUUCUUCCCGGCCCAUCUCCUUAUUUCACGUUUCGUAGUCUUUAGACUUUUUGAACCGAUAUUGUCGCGAGGGACAUAAAUGCUCCAUUCUUCUUCUUCUUCUUCUUCUUCUUCUUUCUCUCUGAGUUAGUGCACUAAGGUUUUGCUCUUUAGCCAUGGCAGACUCAGAUUAUCGUUCUCCAAUAGUACUCUCUGUAACUCUUCUCCUCCUCUUCGUUACAGUCCUCUUCUUCUCUCCAUUAAACCGAAACCAAUAUCUUUCGCUCAAUCUUUUAUCUCCUUCCUCCUCCCUAUCUAACUCUUCUUCUACUCAUCAUAACCAACAAACCACCGACAACGACAAAGCCGUGCAUGUCGUUUCAGCACCGGCACCGGCGCCGUCGCUUCCGCCGUUUCACCAACAUGGGCCUCCCUCCACUCUCACUUUGCCUCAAGUACUCAGUCACAGUGUCAAAAACAAGAGCAAAACGCAAAGGAUUGAAGAAGAGUUGGCCAGAGCAAGAGCCAUUAUUCGCAAAGCUAUUCUGACGAAGAAUUACACCUCUGACAGGAAUGAGAUUUACAUCCCAAGAGGAAGUGUUUACAGAAAUCCCUAUGCAUUUCAUCAGAGUCAUAUAGAAAUGGUCAAGACAUUCAAGGUCUGGGCCUAUAGGGAAGGAGAAGUACCAAUGGUCCAUGAUGGGCCAACUACGUACCUCUACUCCAUAGAGGGCCAGUUCAUUUUUGAGAUGGAAAGUCGGCCAAGCCCUUUCAUGGCCAAGAAUCCUGAUGAGGCUCAUACAUUCUUCUUACCAUUGAGUGUGUCCAAGAUUACUGACUUCCUGUUCAGACCUCACCAUGAGACAUUUUUUCAUCGACUGGGUCGCGUCUUCACCGACUACAUUCAUGUUGUACAAGAAAAGUAUCCUUACUGGAAUAGGAGUGGUGGAGCAGACCAUUUUAUGGUCUCAUGUCAUGAUUGGGCAUCACUUAUCCAACGUGAUGACCCCAAGCCGUACAAGAAUCUGAUGAAGGUGUUAUGCAAUGCAAACAUCUCUGAAGGGUUUAAGCCUACUAGAGAUGUCUCAAUACCAGAAUACAACUUAAAACGCUACGAGCUUGGCCCUCCCCGUUUUGGGCUACCCCCUCAUAACCGUACUGUCCUUGCUUUCUUUGCUGGUGCAGCCCAUGGAGACAUAAGGAGCAUUUUGUUUGAGCAUUGGAAGGAAAAAGAUGAUGAAGUUCGGGUCUAUGAAAAACUUCCUCAGACUAUAAACUACCACAAGAUCAUGGGACAAACCAAGUUUUGCUUGUGCCCGAGUGGUUCUGAAGUGGCAAGUCCUAGAGUAGUGGAGGCAAUGAAUGCAGGGUGUGUCCCGGUGCUAAUUUCCGAUUCCUAUGCAAUACCUUUUGCUGAUGUUCUUAACUGGAACAAGUUUUCUAUACAAAUUCCGCCCAAGAGAAUAUCAGAAAUCAAGACAAUAUUGAAGGCUGUUCCACACAAAAGGUACUUGACAUUGCAGAAGAGGGUGAUGCAAGUGAGAAGGCAUUUUGAGCUCAACCGACCAGCUAAGCCAUUUGAUGUAUUCCAUAUGGUGCUUCACUCAGUGUGGCUUAAAAGGCUCAACAUUCGAUUACCUGAUAAAUUUUGAGGAUUAGAAGGCAUCGCUUCAUUAGCUUGUAAAGAUUUAAUCACCGAUCACUUUUCUAACCGUGAGAUGAUUCUGUCUGUGAUUCCUUUUCCUGUGGAGUUUGAGUUAAGUUUCUGUUCAGAAGAGCUGUUUUUAGGUUGGAACAGACUGCUUAACAGUUCCAUGCAUUGUUGUAUAGACCAAGGCCCCAUCACAGGUUGCUUACAUGAGUGUAGCUCCUCUAUCGAUAUCUAUGGAAAAGCAGAACAUGCAACUUACCAAUUAACAGGUAUUUUGGUUAACAGCUGAGCUAGAUAAACUAUUAUAUCAGAUCAGGACUCCAAUCUUUUUAACUGUCUAAGUAGAUGAUGAAAUGAGUUUUCUCAAUGGAUUUUCUGCCCUAUAUUUGUUUUUU